GACGAACGCUGGCGGCGUGCUUAACACAUGCAAGUCGAACGGAAAGGCCCUGCUUUUGUUGGGUGCUCGUGUGGCGAACGGGUGAGUAACACGUGAGUAACCUGCCCUUGACUUUGGGAAAUCUUCACGAAACUGGGGCUCAUACCGGAUAUGAGCUCUUGCUGCACGGUGGGGGUUGGAAAGUUUCGGCGGUUGGGGAUGGUCUCGCGGCUUAUCAGCUUGUUUGUGGGGUAGUGGCUUACCAAGGCUUUGACGGGUAGCCGGCCUGAGAGGGUGACCGGCCACAUUGGGACUGAGAUACGGCCCAGACUCCUACGGGAGGCAGCAGUGGGGAAUAUUGCACAAUGGGCGGAAGCCUGAUGCAGCAACGCCGCGUGCGGGAUGACGGCCUUCGGGUUGUAAACCGCUUUCGCCUGUGACGAAGCGUGAGUGACGGUAAUGGGUAAAGAAGCACCGGCUAACUACGUG
rnacentral:rRNA from 1 species